CUAAGUUUGAUGGCGACCGGCGCACGGGUGAGUAACACGUAUCCAACCUGCCGAUGACUCGGGGAUAGCCUUUCGAAAGAAAGAUUAAUACCCGAUGACAUAGUUCUUCCGCAUGGUAGAACUAUUAAAGAAUUUCGGUCAUCGAUGGGGAUGCGUUCCAUUAGGUUGUUGGCGGGGUAACGGCCCACCAAGCCUUCGAUGGAUAGGGGUUCUGAGAGGAAGGUCCCCCACAUUGGAACUGAGACACGGUCCAAACUCCUACGGGAGGCAGCAUG
rnacentral:rRNA from 1 species